CGUAGGGUGCGAGCGUUAAUCGGAAUUACUGGGCGUAAAGCGUGCGCAGGCGGUUUAGUAAGACAGGCGUGAAAUCCCCGGGCUCAACCUGGGAACUGCGCUUGUGACUGCUAAGCUAGAGUACGGCAGAGGGGGGUGGAAUUCCACGUGUAGCAGUGAAAUGCGUAGAGAUGUGGAAGAACACCAAUGGCGAAGGCAGCCCCCUGGGUCGAUACUGACGCUCAUGCACGAAAGCGUGGGUAGCAAACAGGAUUAGAUACCCUGGUAGUCCACGCCCUAAACGAUGUCAACUAGGUGUUGGGAGGGUAAAACCUUUUAGUACCGGAGCUAACGCGUGAAGUUGACCGCCUGGGGAGUACGGCCGCAAGGUUA
rnacentral:rRNA from 1 species